CUUCAGGAAGAGGCCCUGUCAUAAUCGCAGUUGUACUACAUAAAAAUAGCUUCGGCUUACAGCGACAUGAGCACAGCCCUUUCCACUGAGGGAAGAGGAAGGCAGUUUCCCCCUACGCAUCCCCCUGGGUCCCUCUUCAAAAGCGGAUCCUCUAGGGCGGGGUCUUCACAGUUCUCAGCAAUAGAUUCACCAGCGGUUUCCUCUCCAGCUUCGGUGCUGAAAGUUUUUUUUUUUUUUUAGAAGAGUCUCGCUCUGUUGCCCAGGUUGGAGUGCAAUGGCCAGUCUCGGCUCACGGCAACCUCUGCCUCCCGGAUUCAAGUGAUUCUCCCGCCUCAGCCUCCAGAGUAGCUGGGAUUACAGGCGCAGGCCACCUCACUGGGCUAAUUUUUUUUUUUUUUAGUCGGGACAGGGUUUCACCAUGUUGGUGAGGCUGGUCUCGAACUUUGACCUCAGGUGAUCCGCCCACCUCUGCCUCCCAAAAUCCUGGGAUUACAGGCGUGAGCUCCCGCUCCCGGCCGCGGAAGGCCUUUUUUUUCCCUGCUUUGCUACCAGCUUCUCACCUUUUCUCAUUUGGCCCUCAUGUCAGAGGCGAGGCAGCUGAGGUUACUGUACCCAUGUGCAGGUGUGGAAACCCAGGCCAGGAGAGGGGAGGUGACUGGCCUGAGGUCACACAGCAAACUCUCGGGAGCCGAGUUGGGGGUCCUGACUCCUUCACGAGUUCCUCCUGCACCAGCAUAGGCCGCCUCCUACGAAAGUGCUGUGGCCACAGCCAGGGCACCAAGAAGGAGAGUGGUGGAGGCUGAGACGUCCGAGGUUGAAGGACUACACCUCGUGAGGUCCUUCUUGCUGGGGGAACUCUGCACAGUCCUGAGGCCCGGCAGGGCAUCACAUGUCAACAGGAAAAAACACCAGGAAGCUAGCUGCAAGACCACCCUGGCAGGGAGGCAGAAGUACAACUUCCAGGAAGUGCCUCUAAAGGGAAGGUAUGCAUCCUAUCCCCCUUCUUGCUUCCCACGGGUGAGAACACAUAUGCAGGGGCUGCAGCUGAAUCGCCUCACGCGCCCAGAAGUCAGUCAAGGGCUAGCUGGGCGAGGUGGCUCACGCCUGUAAUCCCAGCUCUUUGAGAGGCUCAGGCGGGUGGAUCACCUAGGGUUGGGAGUUUGAGACGAGCCUGACCAACACGGAGAAACCCCGUCUCUAUUAAAAAUACAAAAUUAGGGCCGGGCGCAGUGGCUCACACCUAAAAUUCCAGCACUUUGGGAGGCCGAGAUCGGUGGAUCACAAGGUCAAGAGAUAGAGACCAUCCUGGUCAACAAGGUGAAACCCCGUCUCUACUAAAAAUAUGAAAAUUAGCUGGGCAUGGUGGAGUGCGCCUGUAGUCCUAGCUACUUGGGAAGCUGAGGCAGGAGAAUUGCUUGAACCCAGGAGGCGGAGGUUGUGGUGAGCUGAGAUUGUGCCAUUGCACUCCAGUCUGGGUAACAACAGCGAAACUCCAUUUCAAAAAAAAAACAAAAUUAGUGGGAUGUGGUGGUGUAUGUCUAUAAUCCCAGCUACUCAGGAGGCUGAGGCAGGAGAAUCGCUUGCAUCUGGGAAGUGGAGUUUGUCGUGAGCUGAGAUCACACCAUUGCACUCCAGACUGGGCAAUAAGAGGGAAACUCCAUCUCAAAAAAAAAAAAAAAAAAGUCAAGGGCUAAGAUGACAGAAGAGUAAGAGAGAAGGAGGCUGGGUCCCAGAUGACCAUGGAGUGCCAUGAUAGAGAUGGCCUCUAGCACCAGACUUAAUUUAUGCAAGAGAAAUGAAUUUGUGUCUCUGCUGUCUUGGCCUAACUCCCCCAGAGCUGAGGUUUAGCCUCUGAUGAACUCUUCUGACACCAUAGCCUGUUGUCUGUCAUAGUCAAAUCUAAUCUUAAGUAACAUACAAGAUGUAACUCAGCAGUGCCUGUGGCUUCAGUGACCCAGCGUCUGGAUGCCUGUGACUGUCAAUUUUUCCCCCAGCUCAGUUCUAGUAGUUCACCAGACCCCUCCACAUGGCCACUGUCCUCUCCCCAUCCUGCCCCUCCCCAAGGGCUUCCUAUCUCAAGAAAAGGCACCCCCACUCUCCUAGAACUCUGUGAAUCAUCUCUGAAUUCCCUCCCUCCCACUCCAUCUCUCCCACAUCCACAAUGCCCCAAAGUCCCUGAUUCUCCUCCACUCUACUCCUAAUGCCACUGUCACAGCUCAGGCCCUCACCACUCCUCCCCUGGUCCACUGUCACCAUCCGUUAGGACACUACCCUCCCCGCCUCCAGUCUCCACCCCAUGGCCCAUACCUACCCUACCCCUCCCGAAACACCCCCUCUUCCCUUCAUCUCUAAGGCAAAGUCCAAGCAUUCUGGGUGAACAGCAUGCUCCCUGCCUUCCCCCACCUCAUCUGCCAGUCCCCCACCCCUUCCUCAGAGCCAACAGGAGACUAUACAAAGAACUGGCCCGGGGCUCCAGUAACCCGGUAACCCACUAGGACUCUGUUCCCUGUCUCCAAUGUCCUUCCCUGCCACCUCUUUUCUGUAAUCUCUAACUCCUCCUUCAAGGCCCAGGCAAAAACACCUCCUCCAUGAGGCUUUGACUGAUGCCCUCAGCAAACACAGCCCGUUGAUGUCUGCUCGCCCGUGGGUCUAACACAGAGCUGUCCCACUGCAUUUGCUGAGUUGGAGUGUCUGUCUCCCUGACCCGCAGUGAGCAACCUGAGGAAAAAUCCCAUUUUAUUGUACUUGGAAUCCAUGGCACCUAAUGUAAUGUUGGCAUGGAGUAGGUGCCCAAUGCACGGUAUGAAUGACCCAUUUACUAAGCCCUUGCUAUGCGGCAGUAAAGCAUUAGCUUUAUCUAAAUUAUCUCAUUUCAUCCUCAGAAUCUCCUUGACAGGGUGAUUGUCUCCCCUAAGAGAUGAGACUGCAAUUCCCAGAGGCUGAGCAGCCACGCCAGGUGCUACAGCUUAUGCCCGGCAAUGUCAGAGACAGAGUCUCCAUCUGCCACACCAGUCUCUCCCUUGGGAUCUUGCCUCACCCUGCUGCCAACCCCAGGCAGGUCUUCAGGGAAACAAUGACCCCCAGAACUGAGUGUAGAAAAAGCUCCUUAUCUGCCAGGUGUGGCACUUUGGGAAGCCAAGGCGGAUGGACCACCUGAGGUCAGGAGUUCGAGACCAACCUGGCCAACAUGGUGAAACUGAAACCCCAUCUCUACAAAAAAUACGUGGAGUCAGAUGUUGAAGGAAAAACAAAAAUAGAAAAUAAAACAACAACAACAACAAAAUUAGCCGGCCGUGGUGGUAGGUGCCUGUAUUCCCAGCUACUCGGAGGACUGAGGCAGGAGAAUCCCUUGAAUCCGGGAGGCGGAGCUUGCAGUGAGCUGAGAUCGAGCCACUGCACUCCAGCCUGGGUGACAGAGCCAGACUCCAUCUCAAAAAAGAGAAAAAAAGAAAAGAAAAGAAAAAGCUCUUUAUCCUUUUAUUCCGUUGAGAUUUCCUAAAAAGAAAGUCUUGACGGGAAACUAAGGGAAAGUUACACACACACACACACACACACACACACAUAUAUUUUUAACAAAACAGAUGGGCAAGUUCAGGUCCCCUCUGAGCUUUUUUUCUUUUUUUUUUUUUUCUUUUUUGAGAUGGAGUCUCACUCUGUCACCCAGGCUGGAGUGCAGUGGCACAGUCUCAGCUGACUGUAACCUCUGCCUCCCAGGUUCAAACAAUCCUCCCACCUCAGCCUAUGGAAUAGCUGGGACUAUAGACACGCACCACCAUGUCCUGCUAAUUUUUCUAUUUUUUUGUAGAGAUAGGGUUUCACCAUGUUUCUCAGGCUGGUCUCAAGCCUUGAGGAUUGGCCUCAAGACAUCCGCCUGCCUCCACCUCCCAAAGUGCCAGGAUUACAGAUAUGAGCCACCACCUCGCCCACCCCCUCUGAGCAGUUGCUUCCUUCUCUCUGAAACCACCAGGUGACACUAGAUAGCUCCAAGAUCCUUAUCAGCCCUAAUAUCCUGUGAUUCCAUGAAUGGGAUAGUUUCUCAGAAGGUGGACUGACCAGUUGUGAUGGGGAGGGCAGUCCCCUAGGGACACAAGCUUCAGGGGGAGGAAGGCUGGGUGGUGUUGCAGGCUGACCAGCCCCACCCACCCUGCUCUUUAGGACUCCACAUUAGAGGUGCAAAGAAGAAAGGGGCCCGAGGGCGGUGGAUCCCACCUGCAAUCCCAGCACUUUUGGGAGGCCGAAGUGGUAGGUUACGAGUUCAAAACCAGCCUGGCCAACAUGGCAAAACCCUGUCUCUACUGAAAAUACAAAAAUUGGCUGGGCAUGGUGGCGGGUGCCUGUAGUCCCAGCUACUUGGGAGGCUGAGGCAGGAGAAUCGCGUGAGCCUGGGAGACAGAGGCUGCAGUGAACUAAGAUUGCACCAUUGCACUCCAGUCUGGGCAACAAGAGUGAAACUCCAUCUCCAAAAAAAAAAAAGGGAGAAUGGGACUACUUGCAGUGAACUAAGAUUGCACCAUUGCACUCCAGUCUGGGCAACAAGAGUGAAACUCCAUCUCCAAAAAAAAAAAAGGGAGAAUGGGACUACUUGCAGUGAACUAAGAUUGCACCAUUGCACUCCAGUCUGGGCAACAAGAGUGAAACUCCAUCUCCAAAAAAAAAAAAGGGAGAAUGGGACUACUUGCUUAAUAGCCUUUUGGACCCUCUGAUAGUCCUGCCCAGUCUGAGUCUGAGUCUGAAGUCAGAGAGGCCUACGGCUUGGAGCUCAGACCUGCACAGUUCCUGCUGGGUGUUGAAAGGUCCUGUCUCCUCCUUGGGCCCCAUGUAGCCAUCUUCCCUUCUGUGGGCCACCCUCUCUGGUCCCAGUCUCUGCCUGGCCCCUCCUCCCAUAAAAUUAUGACAGCAGAGAGCAGAGGCCUUGUGGGCAAGUUCCUGUGGAGGCUCAAACUCAGCUGUCACCCUUGGAGCCACAGUCAUUUCCCCUCCCCCGCCUGCCCAGCUGGGAGGCUGAGAAGUUUCAUCACAGCUGAGCUGUUGUCCUUAUAAGGGAAAGUCCUCCCAAGCCUCUCUCUUGGGUCAUAGCCAGCUGGUGGAGAACCUGGCCAGGCCUUGGAGUAUCCUCCUGGUGCCAGGAAAGGUGGGGGUCCCUCAAGGACUCUGGGCUGAGCCUCCUUCUGAAAUCACAGGCUCUCCAGACAAAUAGCAGAAAGCAGUCAGUUGUGGCCCCAGCCCAAAAGCCCAGAAGGGUCAAAUCCCAGGUCCUGACACUAACUUUGGUCCCCUAGGUAAGUUGCUUAAGCCUUAGUUUCUUAACCUGUAAAAUGGAGUGAAAUUACAUCUUCCUUGUGAGGCCACUGUGGUGACUGUCAGAGGAUAACAGGCCUGGCAAACAGUAGGUGCUCUGUGAGGCCAGGCUGCUGGGGUUUAUUAAGAAUUUUCUUUUCUUUUCCUUUUUUUUUGAGACAGAAAUUCACUCUUGUUGCCCAGGCUGGGGUGCAAUGGCACAAUCUCGGCUCACCACAGCCUCCACCUCCCAGGUUCGAGCAAUUCUCCUGACAGCCUCCUGAGUAGCUGGGUUUACAGGCAUGCACCACCACGUCCUGCUAAUUUUGUAUUUUUAGUAGAGACGGGGUUUUUCCGUGUUGGCCAGGCUGGUCUCAAAUUCCCGAUUUCAGAUGAUCUACCAACCUCCGCCUCCCAAAGUGCUGGGAUUACAGGCGUGAGCCACCGCACCCAGCCUAUUAAGCAUUUUCUAUGAGGCAGACAACCGGCUCAGUAGUACUCCAUGGCAACCCUGUGAAGGAAGGAAAAUCAGUCCAUUUUACAGACAAGGAAAACCAAGGCAUGGUUUGUCUGAGGUCACCCCUGGGGUUUGUUGUUUGCUGUUUUGUUUUGUUUUGUUUUGAGACAGUCUCGCUCUGUCACCCAGGCUAGAGUGCAGUGGUGCGAUCUCGGCUCACUGCAACCUCUGCCUUCCAGGUUCAAGUGACUCUUCUGCCUCAGCCUCCCGAGUAGCUGGGACUACAGGCGCCUGCCACCACACCCAGCUAAUUUUUGUUUUUUAUUUUUUUUGAGACGGAGUUUUCGCUCUUGUUACCUAGGCUGGAGUGCAAUGGCGCGAUCUCGGCUCACCACAACCUCUGCCUCCUGGGUUCAGGCAAUUCUCCUGCCUCAGCCUCUUGAGUAGCUGGGAUUACAGGCACGCGCCACCAUGCCCAGCUAAUUUUUUGUAUUUUUAGUAGAGAUGGGGUUUCACUGUGUUGACCAGGAUGGUCUCGAUCUCUUUACCUCGUGAUCUACCCACCUCGGCCUCCCAAAGUGCUGGGAUGACAGGCUUGAGCCCCCGUGCCCGGCCUUAUUUUUGUUUUUUAACAGAGUUUUGCUCUUGUUGCCCAGGCUAGAGUGCGAUGGCGCAAUCUUGGCUCACUGCAAUCUUCUUCAAGUGAUUCUCCUGCCCUGGUCUCCCGAGUAGCUGGGUUACAGGCAUGCGCCACCAGGCCCAGCUGAUUUUUGUAUUUUUAGUAGAGACAGGGUUUCUCCAUGUUGGCCAGGCUGGUCUCAAACUCCUGACCUCAGGUGAUCCUCCCGCCUCGGCUUUCCAAAGUGCUGGGAUUACAGGUGAGAGCCACUGCACCUGGCUACCCCUGGGGUUUGAAUCCACACGUGUCUGCCUCCAAACCUGAAGUCAUGCUUCGUAUACUUACAUCCUGAUGUUUCCUCUAGGAAUUCUAUUAAAUUAUGACAACAUGGUGGAAUUUCCAUCAUCACCUUUCCACCCUUCACGUUCCAUCACAGAGCCUCCUCACUCAUAGAAACCUCUGUGGAGUGAGUUUGUGCGGUCUUUUCUGACAGCCCUUUUGUCUGGGACAUGAGGGUGGGGUGGGGAGUCAGGAAGACAAGACCUGGUGAAGGGCACAAAACACAAUGACUCCUAAGACGGGAUGCCGAUAGGGCCUAGGCAGGGGUAGAGGGAGGGGCAACCUGGUUUCCCCUCCCCCUGUCCUGGGUCCUGUCUGAUGAUAGCCACCUUGUGAUUUGUGAAACCCUGUACUGGGCCGGGCAAAGCGGCUCACACCUGUAAUCCCAACACUUUGGGAGGCCAAGGCAAGUGAAUCACUUGUGGUCAGGAGUUCAAGACCAGCCUGGCCAACAUGGUGAAACUCCAUUUCUACUAAAAAUGCAAAAAUUAGCCAGGUGUGUUGGUGCAUGCCUGUAAUCCCAGCUACUUAGAGGCUGAGCCAGGAGAAUCACUUGAACCCAGGGGCAGGGAUUGCCAUGAGCUGAGAUCGAGCUAUUACACUCUAGCCUGGGUUAAAAAAAAAAAAAAAUUCCAGCCAGACCCAGUGGCUCACACCUGUAAUCUCAGCACUUUGGGAGGCCAAAGGGGGUACAUGACAAGGUCAGGAGAUCAAGAUCAUCCUGGCCCACAUGUUGAAACACCGUCUCUAUUAAAAUACAAAAAAUUAGCAUACAGGUGGUAUGCUCCUGUAGUCCCAGCAACUCAGGAGGCUGAGGCAGGGGAUUUGCCUGAACCUGGGAGGUGGAGGUUUGCAGUGAGCCAAGAUUGUGCCACUGCACUCCAGCCUGGCAACAGAGUGAGAGACUCCACCUCAAAAAUAAAAAAAAAAAAUCCCAGCCAGGCGCCAUGACUCAUGCCUGUAAUCCCAGCACUUUGGGAGGCUGAGGCAAGUGGAUCACCUGAUGUCAGUAGUUUGAGACCAACCUGGCCAACAUGGUGAAACCCUGUCUCUACUAAAAAAAGAAAAAUCAGCCAGAAGCCAGGUGUGGUGGUGGGUACCUGUAAUCCCAGCUACUCGGGAGGCUGAGGCAGGAGAAUUGCUUGAACCCAGGAUGUGGAGGUUCCAGUGAGCUGAGAUUGUGCCACUGCACUCCAGCCUGAAUGACAGAGUGAGAUUUCAUCUCAAAAAAAAAAAAAAAAAAAUCCCACACCGUAAUGACCCACAGGACUUAAGGUCACUGACAUAUGGAAGCCUGUGUUCAAAGGAGGGCUCCCCUUCUCUGCACAGGCCUUCAGCCCCAAGACCAGAGGGAAAGGCACUUUUUUUUUGAGAUGGUGUCUCACUCUGUCACCAGGCUAGAAUGCAAUGGCACAAUCUUGAUUCACUGCAACCUCUGCCUCCCGGGUUCAAGCGAUUCUCCUGCCUCAACCUCCUGAGUAGCUGGGACUACAGGUAUGUGCCACCAUGCCCAGCUAAUUUUUAUAUUUUAAGUAGAGACAGGGUUUCACUAUGUUGGCCAGGAUGGUGUGGAUCUCUUGACUUCGUGAUCCACCCGCCUUGGCCUCCCAAAGUGUGGGGAUUAUAGGCAUGAGUCACCAAUCCCGGCCGGAAAGGCACUUUACUACCGCCUUCCCCAUGGCUGGUCACCACCAUCCCAGCAGCCGCUCCCUUCAAAGUGCCUUCCAGAGGGGACUCUGCCAUCAAAAGAGACUCCUCUAUGAUGAAGGGGCCUGGGAGAAUGGCGUGAUUCACCUGAGGUCCCUCAGCUUCUGCGGGCCACUCACUCGGUAUGGCUGUCACACGCCAGGCCAGUGGCAGGGGAAUUCAGGAGCGACACGAGGGUCAUUGCCACAGUUGACAGGCCCCGGUUCAGGUGUUUCCUGUUGUGUUGGCCCCGGGGUCUGUCCAUGGUUCUCACAGAGGAGGAGGAAGGGAGACAGCCUUUGGUAAGCAUAGUGGUGCUUUCCCUCAUGGCGGGUGGCGGGGAAGCGGAGAGCCUGACUAUAAUCUCCUUUUGUGGGUGAGGAAACUGAGGCAUCCUGAAACUGAGACUCAACCAAGGUCCCUGGGUGAGAUGUGGUGGACCUUGGUAGCCUGAUUUGGAGCUGUCCACUGGCCUAGGGCCUUCCCAAGAGUUCUCAGGGAAGCCCUGGAAUUCUGCUGAAUUUUUGUUAGUGUCAGGAGGUCAGGGGCCUCAAACAGGACCCAGGCUCACUCUUUACCAGGCUCUGGUGGUAAAAUAACAGCUGGGAAUCAUCCUUUUGGAACCUUUUUAUUUUUUUGAGAUAGAGUCUCACUUUGUCACCAGGCUGGAGUGCAGUGGCACAAUCUCGGGCUCACUGCAUCCUCCACCUCCCUGGUUCGAGCGAGUCUCCUGCCUCUGCCUCCUGAGUAGCUGGGAUUACAGGUGUGUGCCACCAUGCCUGGCUAAUUUCUUGUAUUUUUAGUACAGAUGGGGUUCACCAUGUUGGUCAUGCUGGUCUCAAACUCCUGACUUCGUGAUCCACCUGCCUCAGCCUCCCAAAGUGCUGGGAUAACAGGAAUGAGCCACUAUGCCUGGGCCUUUUGGAACCAUUAUAGGAAGCACCUGUUCAGCAAGAAUCAUCAAUGGAUACUAAAUCUGGGGCAAUUUGUGGUGAGGUGCAACACAUUUAGAUGAUCUUAAAUUGUCUCCCAGUUAAUUAGUUGCAAGAGAAAAAAGCAAAAACAUUAACAGUAAAAAAAUCAGACACCUGGCCCCAGUAAUCAAAAUGAACAUCACCAAUGAGGGCCAGAUGCAUGUAUUUCCUCCCAGAAGUGAUACCUUGAGAAGGACCCAAAGCCUGUGCAGUUUUCCAGCUGAGAAUCCAUAACCUCAGUCUAAGCAGGCAGAAACCUCAGACAAACCCCAAACAAGGAAUCAGAAAGGGGAGGACUGUAUUCUUCAAAAAUGUCAAUGUCCUCAGGGACAAAGAAAGGCUGUGGAAAUGUUUCAGAUUGAAGGAGGAAACAAAAGAGAGAUGACAAUUGUAUGCCUGACAUGACCCUAACCAGAGGAAAAAUAUAAUAAAGGAUAUUAUUGGGUCAAAUGACAAAAUGGGAAUAUGAACAGCAAGCCAAAUUUACUGAUAACUGUACUACAGUUACAUGAGAGAAUAUACUGAUUUUUAGGAAAUACACAGUAAAGUAUCAAAUACUUAGGGAUAGAGAGCCAUGAUAAGCCAGGUGCUGUGGCUCACGCCUGUAAUCCGAGCACUUUGGGAGGUUAAGGCAGGUGGAUCACGAGGUCAGGGGUUUGAGACCAGCCUGGCCAACAUGGUGAAACCUCAUCUCUACUAAAAAUACAGAAAUUAGGUGGACUUGCUGAUGGGUGCCUGUAAUCCCAACUACUUGGGAGACUGAGGCAGGAGAAUUGCUUGAACCUGGGAGGCAGAGGUCACAGUGAGCCAAGAUGGUGCCAUUGCACUCCAGCCUUAGCAAUAGAAUGAGACUCCAACUCAGAAAAAUAAAAAAAGCUAUGAUAACCAACUAUCCAAUGAUUCAGAAAAAAAUUAUGUGUAUACGUGAAAAAAAGAAAGUGCUCAAAAGAGAAAACAGGUCAAUCUUGCUAGAGUAAAUGUAUGUUUUUUGUACUAUUCUUUUUUUUUUUUUUUUGACACAGAAUUUCACUCUAUUGCCCAGGCUAGAGUGCAGUGGUGUGAUCUCAGCUCACUGCAACCUCCACCUCCCAGGUUCAAGCGAUUCUCAUGUCUCAGCUUCCCAAGUAGCUGGGAUUACAGGCAUGUGCCACCAUGCCUGGCUAAUUUUUGUAUUUUUAGUAGAGAUGGGGUUUCACCAUGUUGGCCAGGCUCGUCUUGGAAGUUCUGACCUCAGGUGAUCUGCCCUCCUUGGCCUCUCAAAGUGCUGGGAUUACAGGCAUGAGCCACCAUGCCCCGCCCUUUGUAUUCUUCCUAUUCCUGCAAUUUUUCUCUAAGUUUAAAAGUAUUUCCAGCCAAGUGCAAUGGGAAAAAAGGGUAUUUUUUUUCGAGAUAGAAUAUCACUGUUGCCAGGCUGGAGUGCAGUGGUGAGAUCUUGGCUUACUGCAACCUCUGCCUCCUGGGUUCAAGCAAUUCUGCCUCGGCCUCCCAAGUAACUAGGAUUAUAGGCACGUGCCACUAAACCCAGCUAAUUUUUGUAUUUUUAGUAGAGACGGGGUUUCACCAUGUUGGCCAGGAUGGUUUCCAUCUUUUGAUCUCGUGAUCCGCCUGUCUCAGCCUCCCAAACUGCUGGGAUUACAGGUGUGAGCCAAUGAAAAAAAUAUUUCCAAAAUGAAAAGUUUGUUUGUUUGUUUUUUGACAUGGAGUUUCACUCUUGUUGUUCAGGCUGGGGUGCAAUGGCACAAUCUCGGCUCAUUAUAACCUCUGCCUCUGGGUUUAAGCAAUUCUCCUGCGUCGGCCUCCUGAGUAGCUGGGAUUACAGCCAAAGAAUUCUCUGUUUUGGAAUCACAGGCCAGGAAAGUCACAGCCAGGGUCCUCUUGGAGCCCCAGACUGGUUUCUUCCAGCUGGAUCCCCACAGCCAGUUCACCAGUCGGAGACAGGACCAGGACUCCAAUAGAGUUCUCCCAGUUCGUCUCAAGCUCGCUCACUUCUGCUUGCCCUUCCUGGAGACCUCUGUUCCGCCUGCCAGCUUCUCUCCAGCCUUUGCUGUCCAGCUGCUCAGCAGCCUGUGCCCACUCUCCUCAUGUCAUGAGAUGUGGUCCCAGACCACAGCUGACUGCCAGAGAACAGCUGCACUACCAGGCCUCCGCUAACUGAACCACCACUGGCCCAAAUACACCCUCCUCUGCCUGGGAGCACAAAGUCCAUCCACCUCCAACAUUGAGCUCGAAACAGCUGCCUGUCCUGGGUCUCCUCUCCACCCCACCCAAGACGCUGAAUCAUCCCAGUUCUUCUGCAGCCCAGAAAAACGGAUAAACCAGCAGGCAAUGGGUGAGGGAAGCAUCUUUGGAAUGUCAGCCUCUCUGAUGGCAAAGAAACAGCCAAGAGCCAUUCGCAUUCGCCUAGUUCCCUACGUCAGAAAGAGGAAUUGAACUAAUAAGCAUUUCUCAAUUCCUACUCCCAGGCCAAGCUCCCCCACCCCCAAGUGCUAAGUUCUUGAAACUGCAUUUACAUUUUUAAUAGCAUCUUUUUUUAAAAAGGAAAAAAAGCGUGAUUUGGAUUUUUCAUGUUUGGGAGAUGUAAAAUCCUUCCUGCUUCCCAGCUGUGGCCAGAUGUGGAGAGGCAGUUUAGGACAAGUCUGACAGUACCUGACAGGCUGAGAGUGAAAGCCUGUCACUUAACUCAUGGCAGCUGGCACCGGAAGAAGCUGUGACAACCUCCUUUAUUGGUAAAAAUAUCCCCCUGCCACCUCAUUCCCAACUGUGGCACAUCCUAUUUUGGUGGGGGCAGCAGUAGAGAACAUCUGCGGACGCUGUCUACACACUCUCAUUCCCUUGCCCUCCUCCACUGCUUCUCUGACACCCUAACUCCACGAGCCAGUGACUCAGGCAGGUCAGGCUAGGUGCUUCUCCAAGGCAGCUCCUUUAAACACUUAGAUCCAGGUUGCCCAAUCUUGACCUGGGACAAUUGUGAAUUUGCCAAGAUAUCCUGAGGCAGACUGGGAGAGGCUGAUGAGGAAGAGGCAGGCUCCCCCUUCUUAUGCCCCCAGGUCAAUUCCUCCCCAGGUAUUCAUCUGUCAAAGGCAUUUUCAGUGGAUGGACUGUUUUCAGUGGAUGGAUGGGCCCUCUGACAGCCUCAACCACAGCACACAAAUGGCAUCGACAAGGAAAAAACCCUCUUCUUCCUCAAGUCUUCACCUAUAUCUUUACUUUUAUUUAACACACAAGCUUAGCAUCCUUGGUUGUCCAAAUCCCAUGCCUGCUGAAAUCAGAAGAGGAACAAGCAUCUGAAGUGGGAAGAUGUGAGGACUAUUAGAGGCACAAGGACAGCAGAAGUGGAAACCAGGCCUGGUUCAGUGGCUCACGCCUUAAUCCCAGCCCUUUGGGAAGCCAACACAGGUGGAUCAUAAGGUCAGGAGAUAGAGACCAUCAUGGCUAACACAGUGAAACCCCAUCUCUACUAAAAAUACAAAAAAAUUAGCCAAGCAUGGUGGCACAUGCCUAUAGUCCCAGCUGCUAGGGAGACUUGGGCAGAAGAAUCGCUUGAACCCAGGAGAAAGAGGUUUCAGUGAGCUGAGAUCAUGCUACUGCACUCCAGCCUGGGCAACACAGCGAGACUCCGUCUAGAAAAAAAAAAAAAGGCCGGGCGCAGUGGCUCACGCCUAUAAUCCCAGCACUUUGGGAGGCCAAGGCAGGUGGAUCACGAGGUCAAGAGAUCAAGACCAUCCUGGUCAACGAGGUGAAACCCCAUCUCUACUAAAAAUACAAAAAUUAGCUGGGCAUGGUGGUGCACGCCUUUAGUCCCAGCUAAUCGGGAAGCUGAGGCAGGAGAAUUGCCUGAACCCAGGAGGUUGCAGUGAGCCGAGAUCGUGCCAUUGCACUCCAGUCUGGGUAACAACAGUGAAACUCCGUCUCAAAAAAAAAAAAAAGGCCCAGCGCGGUGGCUCACGCCUGUAAUCCUAGCACUUUGGGAGGCUGAGGUAGGUGGAUCACCUGAGGUCAGGAGUUCAAGACCAGCCUGGCCAUCAUGGUGAAACCCCAACUUAAAAAAAAAAAAAAAAAAGAAGUGGUAACCAACAGCUCGAUGUUAAAGGAGAAGGAAAGGCUGAGAAGUACAGCCUGCCAGCUCAAAACAGAGAGGCAAUCUUCCUCUGCCCCUGUGCUUCUGGAGAACCCACUCUGCAGAUGGGUCUGACAGGUGACACUGAGCCACCAGGGAAAGAUGUUACUUAGGCCAGCAUCUUCUGUCGAAGAAAGCAGAGAAUAUUUAACGUAUUUUAGAGAUUUUCUAGCAAAAAUAAGUUUUGGAGUUACUCGCUGGUGUCUCUUGGUGGAAAGCACACUGAACUGGAUUCUAGACCUAACUCCCCCAGUCACUGAGAGAUGCUGAACAGUCAUCUUGUCACCCUGAGCCUCAGUAUCCUCUGCUGUAAAAUGUAACAUGAUGACCACUCUCAUGGGACUCUUGUGAUUGUCACAGGAAGAUAUGUAAGAGCACAUCACCAAACAAGUACGAGUGCUAAUUAGUAUUUCUUUCUUCUUUUUAUUUUUUUUUGAGACAGAGUUUCACUCUUGUUGCCCAGGAUAGAGUGGAAUGGUGCGAUCUUGGCUCACUGCAAUCUCUGCCUCCCAGGUUCAAGUGAUUCUCCUGCCUCAGCCUCCCAAGUAGCUAGGAUUACAGGUGCCCGCCACCAAGCCUGAAUAAUUUUGUAUUUUUAGUAGAGACAGCAUUUCUCCAUGCUGGUCAGGCUGGUCUCGAAUUCUUAGCCUCAAGUGAUCUGCCCGCCUCGGUCUCCCAAAGUGCUGAGAUUUCAGGCAUGAGCCACCGAGCAUGGCCUACUAAUGAUUAUUUCUACUACCACUGCUGAAUGGAGCAGGCUUCAGUUUUCUACAUUCACUCAUAUGGAACCUUGCCCAGGGACAGGAAAAGACUUGCACACUAGGUGCACAUACAGUUCAAAGAGCUCUUGGCUGGGCGUGGUGGCUCACGCCUAUAAUCCCAGCACUUUGGGAGGCCAAGGUGGGUCGAUCACCUGAGGUCAGGAGUUCGAGACUAGCCUGACCAACCUGGUGAGACCCUGUCUUUACUAAAAUUACAAAAUUAGCUGGGUGUGGUGGCUGAUGCACAUGAGGCAGGAGAAUCUCUUGAACCUGGGAGGCGGGGAUUGCAGUGAGCUGAGAUUGUGCUAUUGCACUCUAGCCUGAGAAACAAGAGCAAAACUCCAUUUCUUUUUUUUUUUUUUUUUUUUGAGACGGAGUUUCGCCCAGCCUCCUGAGUAGCUGGGAUUACAGGCACACAACACCAUGCCCAGCUAAUUUUUUGUAUUUUUAGUAGAGACAGGUUUUCACCAUGUUGACCAGGAUGGUCUUGAUCUCUUGACCUCAUGAUCCACCCGCCUCGGCUUCCCAAAGUGCUGGGAUUACAGGCGUGAGCCACCGUGCCCGGCCCAAAACUCCACUUCCAAAAAAAAAGUCCAGGCACAGUGCUUCACACCUGUAAUCCCAGGACUUCGUGAGAACGAGAGGGAUGGAUCAUGAGGUCAGGAGAUUGAGACCAUCCUGGCCAACAUGGUAUCUACUAAAAUAAAAAUGAGCCAGGCAUGGUGGCAUGCACCUGUACUCAGAAGGCUGAGUGAGGCAGGGGAAUCGCUUGAACCCAGGAGGUGGAGGUUGAAGCGAGAUUCUGCCACUGAAAUCCAGCAUGGUGAAAGAGCAAGACUAGGUCUCAAAAAAAAAAAAAGAAUUAUCAUCCAGAAACCCUAGAUUUGCCCCUGGAGGUAUUGUCACCAUAUAGAGACCCAGAGAGGAUUAGGUAAUCGCUCAAGGUUGCACAGCAUGGCAAAAGUGAAGCAGGUCUUCUGGCCCCAGAUCCAGGGUCCUCCUACUAGCUUGAGAUGCCUUUACUUUGCCCUGUCCCAGAACCCCCAACCUCAGGGCCAAGCAGGUCCUCACCUCAUU